UACGGAGGGGCUAGCGUUAUUCGGAAUUACUGGGCGUAAAGGGCUCGUAGGCGGCCAACUAAGUCAGACGUGAAAUCCCUCGGCUUAACCGGGGAACUGCGUCUGAUACUGGAUGGCUAGAGAUUGGGGAGAGGGAUGCGGAAUUCCAGGGUGUAGCGGUGAAAUGCGUAGAUAUCUGGAGGAACACCGGUGGCGAAGGCGGCAUCCUGGACCAACACUGACGCUGAGGAGCGAAAGCCCAGGGGAGCAAACGGG
rnacentral:rRNA from 1 species